rnacentral:lncRNA from 1 species
AUGUUUUUUAAUACAUCUCCAACACCUUUUUCAUCUGUCUAUGCAGGGUUUGCGAAGCGGUGGCGGAAAGCCUCAGAAGAACACUCAAAGGUCUGCUUCUGCCCCAGUCCAGGAUGGGAGGCCAUCAGGAAGAUGCUGCCCUCCUUGUCCUGCCAUUUAAAAUGCUUUCUCUGGCUAAAAAAGAUCCGAGUCUUCCUGCCCUUUUUCCCCAACUUGGUCUCUUCCCUGCCAGCACUCUCUUGUGAUCUUCUUCUUUCGAUGUCACACACACACACAUACACACUCAUACUCACACAAUUAAAAUUUCCAAGGAGGCAGAAGUGCAGGGGAGGCAGUGACAGUGGAGCAGAAAGAUGACCUGAUGAUAAAGAGACCUAGUUUAAGCUCCACCUCUGUGUGCGCUUGGACAAGCAGCUCUCUUCUCUCGGCUCCAUGCCCUCACCUGGGAAAAUGUGGGUGUUGAGCCCAGAAUCCCUCGCAGCUUUGACACUGACUCAGCAAGUCAUCUUUCUCACGUGUUAUAGAUAAUUGACACCAUCUGGAAAUUUCUGACUGUGGGUUGUAGGCACAGACCUACCUACUAAGAUGCUGACAAAAUUCUUUGCCCAUAGGAUUAGCAUCAUGGUGUAAUGGCUUGUUCAUGUAGCAAUAGGACAGUGUGAUUUCUUCCGGAGACCCUACAAUGGGGCAGUGCAACACACGUGCUGUAGUAUUAGCUUUGGAGUCAGAGAGACCUGAGUUUGAAUUUAGGCUCUGUUACUUCCUGGCUGUGUGACCUCAGGUAAGUCACUUAAGCUCUCUGAUCCUGAGUUUCUCCCACAGUAAAAUUGGAACAAUAAACAUUAUGAAAGGUUGUUACA